AAGUAGCAACCUCAUCUUUUUUACUCUAAAUAGGAUCACUUUCCCUCUAAGAUUUUCCUCCUAAAAGCUUAGUUGUAAAUUAAUUGAUUUAGUUCAACUUACUUACAAUGUUUUUGUACUCAAUGUGUGAAGCCCAUAUUUUGCCAGGGGCCCAAAACCAAAAAAACAAAAUAACAACAUUCCAUCAAGCCUAAUAAAACAGUCCAAUUACAUUACAAAAAAAAAAGAAAAAAAAAGAAAGGCUCAAACCCAAUUAGCCCAAUACCUAAAAACAAAAAAAACAAAAGAAAACCCUAGCCCCCUAACCCUAGCCGCCGCACCUAGCCCCUGACAGCCUUGCCACCGCCAACUGCUCUGCUGUCGCCGCACCAACUCCACCUGCCACCGCCCACUUGCACCAGCAAAAUCAAAGAAGAAAAGACAGCAAACAAAAAAAUAAUAGAGAUAUUGUAAAAUGGCUAUAUAAGCCAAGAAAUA
rnacentral:lncRNA from 1 species